AAUCGCCGGUUCUCGUUCGAUCACUGAAGUUAAGCAACGUUGGGCCUGGCCAGUACCUACAUGUGUUACUGCUUGGGAAUACCAGUUGCUGUAAG